rnacentral:rRNA from 1 species
UACGUAGGGGGCAAGCGUUGUCCGGAUUUAUUGGGCGUAAAGCGCACGUAGGCGGCUUGGCAAGUCGGAUGUGAAAUCCCUCGGCUCAACCAAGGAAGUGCAUCCGAAACUGCCGAGCUUGAGUACUUAAGAGGAUCGCGGAAUUCCCGGUGUAGAGGUGAAAUUCGUAGAUAUCGGGAGGAACACCAGUGGCGAAGGCGGCGAUCUGGGAAGAUACUGACGCUGAGGUGCGAAAGCGUGGGGAGCGAACAGG